AUUGAACGCUGGCGGCAUGCCUUACACAUGCAAGUCGAACGGCAGCACGGGAGCAAUCCUGGUGGCGAGUGGCGAACGGGUGAGUAAUAUAUCGGAACGUGCCCAGUCGUGGGGAUAACGUAGCGAAAGCUACGCUAAUACCGCAUACGAUCUAUGGAUGAAAGCGGGGGAUCGCAAGACCUCGCGCGAUUGGAGCGGCCGAUAUCAGAUUAGGUAGUUGGUGAGGUAAAGGCUCACCAAGCCGACGAUCUGUAGCUGGUCUGAGAGGACGACCAGCCACACUGGGACUGAGACACGGCCCAGACUCCUACGGGAGGCAGCAGUGGGGAAUUUUGGACAAUGGGCGCAAGCCUGAUCCAGCAAUGCCGCGUGCAGGAUGAAGGCCUUCGGGUUGUAACUAGCUUUGUACGGAACGAAACGGUGAGCUCUAAUAC
rnacentral:rRNA from 1 species